UACUGUUAAUUUGUUAUGUUUUGUAAUUAAUCAUUUACUGAAUUUCUUUGUAGAAUAUGUUACUAUUAUUUGGGUUUUUGUUCUCUGCAUAACUGUCUCUUUCACCUAUAUUAAUUCCUCAGCAUUCAAGAUGUUUGUAGGGUCCUCACCUCAGCUACCUCUCACAAGGUGCCCCUGAAAAAGAAAUUCAAGACGUUUGGGUCCUCAGCUCAACUGACCAAGCUUUGCUCAUUGAAGGCAUGAAGUAAUUUGUGAUGCCCCCACGAUUGCAGUUUUUAAACGCAGAUGGCUUGCUCUUUUUAACAUGUGCGAGAGCUGGAUGGUCUUUCAACAACACUGCUCCGGGUCUUCAGCAAGAAAGGUGCUUCUCAUGCAAGGAAGAUACAGAGGAUCCUGGUGCCCAUGACUCAGACUGACAACAUUGAUGUGAAGAGGGAGUGCAUGCUGAGGAGCUGACGGUCUACCUGAAUGAAGAGCCAGACAAAGUGGUAUGUUACAACUCGGCAGCUAGAUCUGUCUUUUUCGUUAUUAGGUGGCAUAGGGAGAUCGCACACAUCAGUGGCCUGCGAGGCUCAUUUUGUUGGGCUCUGGUGGGCUCCUCCUGUGCUACCUGACAUGUCUCCUGGCAUCUCAUCCACGUUCUGGACACUGCUGGAGGACACACCAAACCUUCUUGCAUUGAUGUGCCAUCUUGGCCUCAGUUAUGUGUUCUUUGCAAACACGAAUCUGCCCAAUUCCAGCUUUGCUAAAGCACCCUCACAUCAUCACAAACCCUUUGCCAAAUUUCACGUUCAAUCCAACACCAGUCAUCUCUGAUUUGUAGAUCUCUGCAGGUCUCUAUCUACCCAUG